CUAGCCUCCACACAUCAUAUUUUUGGCCCCCUCUCUCUAUAGGGAAGUCGAAAAUUGUCUUUUGUGUGUUCUUGGCGUUCUUGUCUUCUUCUUCGAGAUCCCUACAUUUCUAAGAGAUUCCUCCCACAAGGAAUUUAGAUCUAGAGUUGGGUCAUAGGUUAAAAGAUCCUUGGUCUUGCAAUCACAUUGAAGUAUCAAGAUCUACACAUGGAGAAGUAGCGAGCCACUUUGAUUCUUUGGAGAAUCAUUAUUUCCCUCGAGGACGAGUUCAUAUGCAGCGAUCUUGACAAACUGACGACUUGAUCAAGUAUAUGCGGAGAGAAGAAACAUAAGCUGCUGGCAAAUGGAUUGACCUCGACCUCGGGUAUGAUUGUUGGAAGUUUAUUCGGUCUAAUGCAUCUAUGUAAAUAUGUGUUUUUAAGUCUUUCUUUUUUCCUUUCUUUCUUGAGAUGAGUAAACCGUGCUUGAAACUUGCCUUAUCUUUUUCUUUUCUUGUCUUUUAUACUUGAGGACAAGUAUGUUUUAAGUGUGAGCAGUUUGAUAAGGCUCAUUUCAUGCAUCGGUUUAAAGGGUAAAAAGUACGCCACUUGAUCUGUUUAUUGCGCAAAACAAGUGUUAAAAGUGCAGGAAUGCAGCUUGACCAAGACAUCAAGGCUAAACUGAUCAAGUCGGCACAAAGGACGCAAAAGGCCAAGAAAUCAGGGAGAUUGAUCAAGGGGAGUGAUCAAGCAGUUAGGCGGGGACCAUUGGCAAAGAGAAGAAGACACGUGCCGAUACAAAGGACACCAUCCUGCUAUGAAGGGACCACUGUCUUCUAGAAGGAGGAAUACGUGUCGACCAAAGAGACGCGCGGUCCUAGAAGAAAGCGAAUAUUCGCCGACAAGGUUGUUAUCCCUGCUGGAGGAUAGCUCUUAGUUUUAGCUUAGUUUAGUUAACUUUCGUUCCAGUUCUUCGCUAGCUUAUUCGACCAAAGGUUGCCUAUAAAUAGAGGCUGCGACACCACAAUAGAGAGGACUUUAUCCGCU